AUGACAUUUGAGCACUUCUGCAGAAUUCGUGAAAUGGCGAAGGUUUUAAGUUGGAGAACACGCGUAUUUUCACCAUGCGAAACUAUACGGCCGCUUUCCGAUUUUCCCCUGCGCUUCUCUUCGCCAGGUCAUCCGUUUUCACUCAAAAUUGAAUUAAUUAAUUUCCUAACCAAGUUCUCAUCCGAUUUUUUAUAUUUGGAUUUGACACAAUUUUUGAACCUUUUUAAUAUUUAACAUAAAAAUUAAGUUGCUAUCAUUGGAAUUUUUUAAGAAUUUGUUGAGAUUUCAGAAUAGUGGAUUCGAUUUUCCUUUUUUCACAUUGCAUAUUUAUAUUUGUAAACUUAUUUAUAUAUUAGACCAUAAAAAACCAAAUAUACCUAGUUCCCUAUGUGUGAUAAGGGCUAACAUUACACAAAGUCAUAAGAUUUUUGUCAUCAAAAUCUUUAAAGCACGCCAAGGGAAUAAAUAGAAACAUCGAAUGUAUUAUUCUGAAACAAUUUUGAAAAAUAAUAUCCACUUAUAAGUUAGUUGAAUCCAUUUUAAAUAUUAAAAAGUGCUCAAAAAUUAUGUAAAGUCCAAAUAUAAAAAAUCGGAUGAGAACUUGGUUAGGAAAUUAAUUAAUUCAAUUUUGAGCGAAAACGGAUGACCUCGCGAAGAGAAGCGCAGGAGAAAAGCGGAGAGGUGAACUCCAUAUAGUUUCGCAUGGUGAAAAUACGCAUUUUCGCCAACUUAAAACGUUCGCCAUUUCGCGAAUUCUGCAGAAGUGCUCAAAUUUCAUACUAACUAUUGUUUGUGUUUAGUUCCUUGAGAUUUUAGUGCUAGUUUCAACAAGAUCCGUGCGAAACAUGUCUGACAUGUGCAUUGUGAGUGGCACCUGUCUGCUGUAUACAAUUAACCAAUCAAUUACGACCACUUGACAAAAUUACUCCUUGCACUUCAGUAAUGCUUAUUCUUAAACUUGAACCUUGCAUGUUCUAGCACUAUUUUUUUUCUAUAUAUUGACCGUAAUCAUGAAUAUGCCAUCAUUACAUCGCAUUUUUAGAGCGAAAAUUAUAUUAUUGUAAAAUUUAUAAUCCACAACUCAUAGCCAUUGUAAAGUUGUAAUGACUCAACUUGGACCUAGUCAAGUAGGCCUAGUUUGGGAUGUAGGUCCCAGUUAUCAGUUGGGCGUUAAUAAUAUGGAGGUUUCCAAUUUUGACAAAAACAUACAGUCGAUAAAUCGAGGAUUUUCCAACUUUUUCAAAACAUUUGCAAAAAUAUCCUUCCAUUAUGGCUUCCUCCCGUGGAAAAUCGAAGAAUCUAGAAAUUCCAAAAAUAGUAGUGUGAAAGAAUACGCAGCAAAUGGUUCCAAAUUCCGAAAUGGAUUAUCCGGCAUCAUUUGGUCCCUUACAAUAUUAAAAUUCGGAGGGGCUCUUCUUCUUGAUGCGUCCCAAAAAUUCGGAGCAAAUCCCGUAAACUAUUUGUACCUCUUGAGAAGUUUUGGAGCUUGUUGGAACUAUGUAACUCUCUACUAUUUCAUGUUUUUCAAAUUUCCUAUCGCGCUACCUCAAAUAGUUCAACAUUGCUACACCAUGGAAAACAAGAUCCAGUGGAAAUUGCAUGGAAAACUCAAAAUGUUUUGCUCGCCACGAGUCAUUACUUUCUUGCUACUAACAUACAUGGCUGGAUUCUGCAUCGACUUUUUGUUUGUCAGUUUUCCAGAGACAAGAGUGCAAUUUUUUUAUACCCAAUUUUAUCAAAAUGUGAGGCUAUACUUGACGUAUGAAGGGAUAACGCCUUCAAGCUCAGAAAUUCUCCAAAAUCCAAAUAGAAUAACAUUAUUAUGGAACAGUAAAGUCGUAGACAUUUCACUUGGAUUAGUCGACAUCUUCAGCACGUAUUGUCACAUUUUGGUGGCGUAUUGUGGGGAUAUGCUCAUCCUUAUGGCUGCCGUAACACUGUGGGUCCCAUGUCGCCACUUUAAUAGAGUCAUUCAACAAGACAUGGAUUCUGCGUCAAAUUCGUUAAAAACUCUAGACAUUUUGGAAAUGCACGAAGAUCUUAAAAUCCUGUCACAGCAUUUGAACUCUGCAUUCUCUGCAGUGUUACUUUCGUUUUUAGCAGAUUGUUUAUUUUACUAUUCGACUCACCUCAUGGACAUUUUGUUAGAUCAGCCCGUCCUCUCAAAAGCAUUUCUUGUUGUUUCAGUCGCUAUUAUAGGAUUGUGCAUGCUCUUAGCAGCAGAUGGAUUUGAAAAUGUCAACGUGAUGAGCAGAUGGCUGGCGAAACCAAGAGUUCAAAAAGAAUUGGAAUCUGAACCACUUCGCUUCACAAGUUUGACACAGGAACUUGCGUCGUCUCAUCUGGUAGGGUUGAGAGGGGGGAACAUGUUUACGAUUAAUUUCAGCUUCAUUUUUUCGAUGCUGAACACAAUUCUUACCAUCUUUGUUUUAUGUGUACAAUUUCAGUUCACGGAAAAUAAACUUAAUUGUGUUUAAAAACGAAGUCGAGAAUAUAAGUUUGACAUAUCUGUAAAUACAAAAAUUACUAUUAUAAAUGCACAAGGUGCUUAUCCAGUUGAAAUAAAAGCACGUGCGAGAUUCCAUGAACACUGUAGAUCAAAUAACUCCAUAUUAUGUAUUAGCUCGAGUCGUGUUUAAAAUCCUAAGCUAAGUAAAUAUGUGCACAGUUGACCUUAUCUUGCAAACCGAAAUUUAAGGUGCAUAGCAACUGUUAAACAAAUAUUUAAAGGAGUUUUGUCGGAAUACUUGGGUGUGUCGUUUGAUAAAGCAAUUUAUUCGAGCUUCCGAUGCUAAACUUGCAUCAUCAUCAGGAUUUUUAACUGCAUUUUAAACAAAUAUUUUAUUUAUUUCUUGGCACCUUACAACACAUGCAAAUAAAAUCGAUAAGUUGUUAUUCUGAAUUGUUUAUGUAUGCAAAUCAGCCUGAGUAUCUAUUAAAAUAGGGAAAACAUGAAAAACAUGAUUUGUUCAAAGUGCAUAAUGCAUAUGUGAUAUGUACAUAUCCUAGAAAAAAAUUCGAAAAUUCUUGGAAUGUAUGUUUCUGUUAAUCGAAAAAGUAUGUACCUUGCAUUUACCCUGUAAAAAAUGCUUAUGUAAACAUUAUGCAUGCAUUAGCGUUGACAAGUUUAAAUUAUAUAAUUGAAAUUUGGUACAACGAACGACAACUCACGUCCCUGGACUUUCCGCUCAUUUACUUAUUUGAAAUUAUUUGUUACAACUAAACUACAUACAUAAGCUACUUAUGAUUCGUUGACCUUAAAGCUCCAGCCAGAGCGGUAUAAAUUUGCUCAUUUUCUGCGUUCUUCAUAGUUUAAUUAUUUACGACGGUCCAUUGUUCACUUAUUCAUACAUAUGUACAUAUAUUCAGCAACAGGAUGCUUAGCAUACAUAUAUUUUAUUUCAUCCGGUCUUAUUGUUCUUUAGGAAGAAUAUUUUCUCAUAAUUACAUAAUAGUCUACGCACGUAUUUUUUCUUUAUAUUUGGCAAAAAUUGAGGUUGUUCGCCCACUGUCUCCUCAGUCUUGAAGUCACACAAACACAAGAAAAGGGACCCUGUAAAAGGUUGAAUCUAUUCGACAUAAGAAUGGAACGUGCUACCGCUUCUUUCGCCCUGGUUCUGGUCUUAACCACCUUGUUGCCAUGUUUCGUGAAUUCCGCACCGCAAAUUCCACCACUUCCUGUUCCUGGAGCCCCAGCAAUUCCCGCCACCCCUGCACUUCAGGUUCCAGGGGCCCCAGCACUUCCUGCCGCUCCUGCACUUCCGAUUCCAGGGGCGCCCGCUCUUCCAAACCCCAUGGAUCCAAGUGGAGCUGUUAAACAAGGGACAACUCUGGCAAAUAACGGGAAGGCCGUUGUCCCUGUUGCUGGAUCGGCAAUUCCAAGCGUCCCAGCUGCACCACUUCCAAUUCCAGGUCGCUAAUAAACGAGAGAUGUAAUCAAUAUUUGAAUGAGCAAAUAAUAUCGGUAACAACCAGAUGAAAAUAAAGACGUAGGUAUUUCAUGCACGAGGUUA